rnacentral:rRNA from 1 species
GAUGAACGCUGGCGGCGUGCCUAAUACAUGCAAGUCGAGCGAAAAGACGAGGAGCUUGCUGCUCUGACGUUAGCGGCGGACGUGUGAGUCACACGUGGAUAACCUACCUAUAAGACUGGGAUCACUUCGGGACACCGGCGCUAAUACCGGAUAAUAUAUUGAACCGCAUGGUUCAAUAGUGAGAGACGGUGUUGCGGUCACUUAUAGCUGGAUCCGCGCCGCAUGAGCUAGUUGGGAAGGUAACGGCUUACCAAGGCAACGAUGCGUAGACGACCUGAUAGGGUGGUCGGCCACACGGGAAGUGAGACACGGUCCAGAGGCCUACGGGAGGCAGCAGUAGGGAAUCGGCCGCAGUGGGCGAGAGCCUGACGGAGCAACGCCGCGUGAGUGAUGAAGGCGCCCGGAUCGGAAAACUCUGUUAUUAGGGAAGAACAACUGUGGAAGUAACUAUGCACGUCUUGACGGUACCGAAUCAGAAAGCCACGGCUAACUACGUG